AUUAGUUCCCUAUUGAUUGAUUUGAUUUGAUGAUAUUCUCCAAUAAGAAAAUAAAAAUAUGUUAAUGAACUUAUGUUGAUGUUGCUAAAAUAUUUUUCUCUUUGAGGGACUAGAUGUGAGCAGCCAAAUGCAAUCUUUUUCUUUAGGUUGCAUUUUUUUCUAUACUUUAAUAAUAAAAAAUAUAUAUAUUGAAAGUUUUUACAAAGCCAGUGAAAACACCUUUGUGUACUUUGGCUCACACCUUGUAUUUGGUGAGAUACUUCCCUUGUGACAACUAGCCCCUUCUAUAUAUUUUUUGUGUGUGUGGUAAUUUUUUUUAAGAAAUGAAAGAUGUGUUUGAGCACCCAGUUAACAGAAGCAGAGCUCUGGGACAUGCGGACAGACAUUCGCUGUAAUGAUGGACAUCUGCUCAUGGACAGGCUGAAAAGCAUAACCACUGCUGGACAUUGCUCUGGGACUCGGGGGGGACCCGAACCAUCCUCACCCCUUCUUUCACACACCAUUCACUCAUAUCACAGAGAUCCAGCUGGGAUUGAACCAGCAACCUCUGAACCAUGAGGCAGUGCUCCUACCAGUGAGCCACAGAUCUCUUGUUGGGACAUGUGAAGGAACUUAUAUUUCACUAUUAACAUUUAAUUUUACAAUAAACUAGUUAAAGAUUUCA
ensembl:lncRNA